rnacentral:sRNA from 1 species
GCCAGGUGUGGUGGUGCACACCUGUAAUCCCAGCAGCUCAGAAGGCUUAGACAGGAGGAUCACGAGUUCAGCUUGCUAAGCAACUCAAUGAGACCCUGUCUCUA